AGCAGUUGGUUAGUAGAUACGUCCGUAAAAGUACACAACAAUUAUGUUUCGACGAUGAACACAUAAGCACCUCUUCCAAGCAACUUCCUGAAACGUCGUGACUUGUUAACUACACACACACGCACAUUGAGAAUGUCCUUAGCAGCUCUUGGCGAGCACAAAGAGGUGGCGACACAACUGAUAGUCUUGGGACUGCUACACUGCAUGGAAUAGCAGAAAGUGAGCUUAUUAAUAGGUUUUGAUGAGUGAUGGUGGAAUGAUUCAGGUGUGGAAAAUCAGACGGGCCCAGAUGAGGAAUGUAAGCUGAUCUCAUGUGAAAAGCUGCUCAAAUGG